rnacentral:tRNA from 1 species
GAAGUAAGAAGAUCAAGUAAAAGCCGCUAACUUUUUUCUUUAAUGGUUAAAUUCCAUUUUUACUUCU